rnacentral:hammerhead_ribozyme from 1 species
AUCCAGUUGACGAGCUCCAAAUAGAACGAAACGCGCGUCAAACUGGAU